AUUCAAAUUGUUGUCCAAAAUUAGAUUUCUCCCUCCCGAAGUCGAAGUUCCCUCCCCAAGUUGAAGUCAAUUUCAUUUAAAAUUGGUCAAACAAUGAAUGAAUCAUCUUCAUCAUUGAGGAUUACAAGAGGGUCUUUGGGAAAAUCAAAUCAAGUUAUACAAGAACAAACCAUGGAAGAGCUGAGAUCAAAGAAAAAAAACGACCCUAUGGCAGUUCAACAAGUUAUUAAAAAUGCCAAAGCUAGAGGCAUUAAAAUUGUACAAGGAAGAAGAAAGAGGAAAGCUGUAAACAUUGAAUCAGAGGAAAAUGCUUCUGAAGUAGUCGGAUCUGAAG